rnacentral:rRNA from 1 species
UACGUAGGGGGCAAGCGUUGUCCGGAUUUAUUGGGCGUAAAGAGCGUGUAGGCGGCUGGGUAGGUCCGUUGUGAAAACUCGAGGCUCAACCUCGAGACGCCGAUGGAAACCCUCCAGCUAGAGUCCGGAAGAGGAGAGUGGAAUUCCUGGUGUAGCGGUGAAAUGCGCAGAUAUCAGGAAGAACACCCGUGGCUAAGGCGGCUCUCUAGUACGGUACUGACGCUGAGACGGCGAAAGCGUGGGGAGCGAACAGG